UACGUAGGCAGCAAGCGUUGUUCGGAAUUACUGGGCGUAAAGAGUGUGUAGGCGGUGCUCUAAGUUCGGUGUGAAAUCUCCCGGCUCAACUGGGAGGGUGCGCCGGAAACUGGGGUGCUGGAGCGCGGGAGAGGAAAGCGGAAGUUCCUGGUGUAGCGGUGAAAUGCGUAGAUAUCAGGAGGAACACCCGGCGGUGUAGACGGCUUUCUGGACCGUAGCUGACGCUGAGACACGAAGCGUGGGUAGCAAACGG
rnacentral:rRNA from 1 species